CUAUGGACAGUUUUCAGUUUCUGCACCAUUUCUGGGUUUAAUUUAGCAAGCAACAAACUUUCCUGACUAAAAAUUUGAAUUGCUUCAAAUCUCUUUCUACUUGGGUCAGUUGUCAUGAGAGAGUUCAGUUUGGAAAGGGCUUGUGUUGCUGUUCUUGUGAUGGACACUUUAGCUUCAGCAGCUUUAGCGGGGGGCAUGUUAGACAAAGCUCUACUGGUUGCCUCAAAAUAAAUGCCACGAGUGAUGUUUUCAAAUUUUUUUUUUAUACCUUGCAAGUCCCCAUAUAGUGAAUGGGCAGUUGGAUACAAAGAACCUUCAAGUUUCUGUAUUAGCUCUACAAGGCUCUUGGCAUGCUCUUUCACAAAGACAGCUUGACAAAGAAUGAGAGAAAUGUCAUUUUCUGUGAGUGAACACAGAAACUCAACCCCUGAAUUUUGUGUUGCCUUUAGUUCAUCUGUUUUGCAGAAAUCAACAAUGUCAUGUAUGUAGUCUGCUACAUAAAAAACGCUGUUGAACCAGGAAUUCCAUCUAGUAACAACAGGAAGUGGGAACAAUGGACGUUUCUCUCCAUGCUUUUCUUCAAGAAAGCUAGCAUACAGGUGCCUUCUUUUCCUGGUGUUGUUGAACACAUUUUUUAUUUUGCUCAUAGCAUUGUUCAACUCAGGCAACUCUUUCACCCAGACAUUGCCAACUAGAUUUAACUUAUGUGCCCAGCACUGGACAUGCGUUAACUGGUCUCCAAGGAUUACUUCGAGAGUACUAACAGCCUUGGUCAUAUAACGAGCAGCAUCGGUUACUACUGAGAGCACAUCACCAUACUGUACAUUGUACAUUUUGAGUGAAUCUAAAAUUGCCCUCACACAGUUUGUGGCAUUAGCAGCUUCAAGAAAGUGAACUCCUGCAACAAAUAUUUCUGGUUUAUCCUGUUGAAGAUUCAGAAUUCUAAAUAAAACAACAAAUACACACCUACCCAUUUUAUCUGUUGUUUCGUCGCACAGUAUGUCAAUUUUUUUGUCCUUUAAUGCAGUUUUGGCAUCUUCAAUUCUGCAUUUGGCUAUGUCCCCUACAUAUUUCUCACGGACUGUUCUCGCAAGUGGCAUGUCUCCAGCACCUUCGAUGUAUUUGUUCAGCCAUGCCCUGAUAUUAGGAUCAUCAAGCUUUUCAAGGGGUAUAUUUGCCUUUAUAAAGGUCUCUGCUGUUUCCUUUAUAAAUUCCAACUUUUUGUCUUUUUGGACAUUAUUUUUUGCUGUCUGAAACGCUGAAGAUAUUGACGACUGGCGUUCAGACGCACUAGAUGAGCCUUGCAAUGAAGAGAGACGCUUCUUGUGUUUUUCACUGCCUACAUGUUUUUCACAUGAGUCUUUCCUAUCCCAAGAGACGGUGACAUUACAGUGACGACAAAAAAGUGUGGUUGAAUCACUAGCAUAAAGUCCGUGUUGAGAAAAUUCAGAGGCUCGCUGUUUUGCAGUUACCGGCACUUUAGGCAUUUUAAUAGGCCUAAUGUUUUAGCCGACCUUUAAAUUGUACACCUUUAAUUUAUUUCACAGACGUUGAAAACUAUCUGUAACAAAAUUCGACCCGUUAAACUUUAACUUGCGCACAACAGAAUGUUACGAAUCGUCACCGUGUUUGCAUUUUAAAUUUGGUAUUUGGUUAAUAAAAAUGGACGCAAUGGACAAACAACGCUAAAGACUAUAUAAGAGAACAACGCUUCGAGAAACAACCUGCUGUAAACACCGUGAUAAUCGACUGUCCAGGCGAGCCGAAUAUCAAAAUACAGCAAAACCCCUUAUUUGCACUUUUCAUGGGGACAAAGUAAAAAAGUGUAAAAAGCGGGAAAGUGUAAAUAAAGGGAAAAGUAAGAAAUACGUUAAAGUUAAUUAAAAUACAGUCGCAUCCUGCCGCGUUCAGAACGGGCUACAUUACACAGUAAAAAUAAAUAAAAAAGGGGCGCAAAUUGAUGAAAAUUUACCGUCAAUUGCGCGCCUUGCGCGGAGAAAGGUCAUUGUACUCGAUCAUCUGUUGUUACAGUGCGGCCCAGGGCGGCGUCUGUUCUCUGAGCUGCGCAUGCGCAGUAUAACUCAUUCAAUGCUCCGCCCAGACUCGUGACCUUCCAUCAGCAGCCAGCCAAUAGAAGCGAGCCUAGCGGAAAAAAAUAUAAGCUCCACCUCCCGUGUACCAGUUUUGUCCAGUUCUAAUACCAGUUUAUUGGUAUACGCACCCGCUUACUCGCUGCCGUGACAUGUUCAAGUUUACGUUCAUCUUGAUGUCUUGAUACCAAUAAUUAAUAAUUUACGAUCCCCACAAAUAAAUGGUUAGUUUAAAAAAUAUGCGUCAACAGUAUAAUACUUCCGAAAUUAUAUAAUACGUAUAAAACAGUUACCAAGAUUCCACUCAUUUUAUCUUGUGAAGUUCAUGUCUCGUACCAGUAUUUCGGCUAAGUUGUGACAUAAAUACAGUAUCAGCACUUACAAUGUUACGAUCAGCCACGUAAUAUUUCCGACAUUUCCGUUACGUUUCUAUAUUCGGAGAAGUCCGGCAACACCUCGUACUGCCGGGAGCCGCGCGGCAUCAUGCGGCUGCCUUGGAACCAGGUGACGAGCGGCCGUGGCCAGCCGGUGGCGUGGCAGUGCAGCACGGCGGGAGCGCCCAGCUCCGCCACCGUGAACGUGUCGUCGUCGCCGAUUAUCUCGGCGGGACGUGACACGGGAUCUGGGAGCACCACCCCCAUGCAGCAUGCCACCACUGGCUAACUCAUGCAGUGUUACAACUACGAUCAUUAGUGCGUUCAGUUCACUAUGCAGAAAAGCAUUAGUUUAUGUUAUGCACAUUAUCAUAUUUUACUACGUAAUUAGCAAUCUUUUACUUUUUAAUGUUAAUCUUUACAUUGAUCGUGAAAAUGAUCUAAACAAAAGGCUUGGGAAAUAAUUUGAUAGUAUAAUGCUUGUUUUCAUGUUCUAUUCAUAAAAUAUUUAAUUUUUUACAAUGUGGACCUGAUGUAAUAAGUGAUAAGUACUCAAUACAACUAUAGUUUUGCUGGAGGAAAGUGCAACUUUGAUAAACCUACGCUGUUACUAGAUGCAUUACCUAUUACCUGGUAGGAUUGACAGGCAAAUGGCACAAUUAGUAGCGAUAAUAGUGUAACCAUAUAAUAUCCUUAAGUUACUGAUGUUCUUUCGAGUAAAGCCUUUUUCUGCAUGUGUAGAAAUAACUAUGUAUGGAAAUGGAAACAAAAGAUAAAUAAUCUGAAUUAUGACAAUCAUGUACAUAUUUUGAUUCUCUACAGUAAGUAAUUUUUGUGUUUAGUACAUUUUUAGUACGUAUAAAGUCUUAAAACUAUUCCAAGAGAAUUAAAAUUUAUUGAUUUUCAUUGAUGUUAAUUUAAAUUCAAGAGCAAACAAUAAAAAAUAUUAUUAUUCUCAUUCAAUCGAUACAUGACUUUUAUCCUGAAAUAGUUAGCUAUCAGAUUCAGUCAUUUUUACCUGUGCUCUUUCAUAGGAAACUUUGUAAAAUAUUUGUACUAACUGGGGCUGAUUUUACAUUAUUUAAGUUUUGAGUACAUUAUUUUACUUAAAAGAAAAUCGGUUCUGUGCUUGAACUACUGCAAUUCAGAAAAAAAUUGUUUACGUAAUUGUUUAUAAUUUAUCUGUUAAAUGGCUUACACAACAUGCAAUUUUAUGCAAUUGACAGUAUACAAGUGCCAGCUUUAAUACAAGUAUUUCUGGUGUUAAAAAUACUAUAAUGUGGCAGUUUGUUUUACUUAUUGACAAAAUACUAAAAGAGAGCUGUCAGGGAAGAAAGAAAGGAACCUGCUAAACUGUUGCAUGAAACUAUCUAUUGUUGGUGAUCAGAAAUAACUGCAAUUUCAUAAGUAUAUUUUGAGUGUGCAUUUAAAAAUUGUAGCAUCUAAAUAAAGUUAGGAACAUUAAA